GUGAGGAGAUAUUGCGCAAUGGACGAAAGUCUGACGCAGCCAUGCCGCGUGCAGGAUGACGGCCCUAUGGGUUGUAAACUGCUUUUGUAUGGGAAUAAACCCUUCUACGUGUAGAAGGCUGAAGGUACCAUAAGAAUAAGCACCGGCUAACUCCGUGCCAGCAGCCGCGGUAAUACGGAGGGUGCAAGCGUUAUCCGGAUUUAUUGGGUUUAAAGGGUCCGUAGGCGGGCCGAUAAGUCAGUGGUGAAAGCCCAUAGCUCAACUAUGGAACUGCCAUUGAUACUGUCGGUCUUGAGUAUAUGUGAUGUUGGCGGAAUGUGUAGUGUAGCGGUGAAAUGCUUAGAUAUUACACAGAACACCGAUUGCGAAGGCAGCUGACAAAUAUAUAACUGACGCUGAGGGACGAAAGUGUGGGGAUCAAACAGGAUUAGAUACCC
rnacentral:rRNA from 1 species